rnacentral:lncRNA from 1 species
GUACAGUGGCCCAGGGCAGACUAGCUGGAAUCAGCCUCCCGGGUGGGUUUCGAGGCGUUUCCAGGGUCAGGGGUCAAGUAGGGGCAUGUUCCCGGGACACUGCUUCUUUCUGCCAGAAGGACGAAGAAUCUGGAGAGUGCAAUAUUUGGAUCUGGUCCUGCUGAUGUGUUUCUGUGCUACAGAAACCUUCUCCACCCCUCUUCUACCCAACAGCUAGAGGACAUGGGGUCCGGAAGUGCAUGUGGCUGGAGCCAGUGUGGUCGCUGUCGUGAUGGCCGAGUCCAGAUGAGCUGCCGCUGGGGAAACACAGGGUACCUGAGGUCUGAGGUCGGGACGUCUUUGUCCAACCACUAAGAGUCCACAUUCUCCUUUGGAGCCGGGUCUCCGUUUUCUCCAGCAUCAUGGGCCCCUCAAGGAAGCUGAUGCAUGCCACAGGCUGUCUUCUCAGAAAAGGUACCCAAGAACACAUUUUGGGUUUGCAUGUGGAUUGGGAAGCCCAACGUGGCCUCCAGCGGUGCUCCUUGGCUUUGUCUAGACUGCAGGAUCCCACCCAUGCCCUGUGGAUUUGCCACGUGGACACUGACGUGAGCAAAUGGACAAUUCAACAUCAGUGGCAGAAAGGAGCUCAGUCUGGUUCACACGUGGAAGGCAGCACAUUCUGAAAGAGAAUCACUUGAACCCAGGAGGCGAAGGUUGCAUUGAGCCAAGAUUGUGCUAUUGCACUCCAGCCUGGACAACAGAGCAAGACUCUGUCUCUCAAAAAAAGAAAAAGAAAAGCGACGACAUUCAGUCAAUCAGCCAGAUAUUUUUGGUGAUGCUGCAACUCUUAAUGGUAUCCUGUCUGGAUUCUGUUUAUUUAGUUCCUAAGUUGGUAAAUACAGUGCCUGUUAAUCAUUAACCUUUGCCUUGUCAUUGACAAAGAGUUCACUUGUCAAGCUGUGAGUGGAACACAGAAUUGUGAGGCCUAUGGAAUUCAAGCAUUGAUCUUGAUAUUAUGGAUGAGGACAAAAAGGGUGGGUGACUUGAAGCUGUUUUCUUCCCAGAAUUUGAGCUUUGUGAUCAUUGAAUCAGGACUUGAAUCGACACUCCUUGGCUCCCUAGUCCUUUUUCUGCUUUUCCUUUGGUGGUGAUUGGAGGCUGUAGUAGGCUGUUCUUCUGUUGCUAUAAAGAGAUACCUGAGGCUGGGCAAUUUAUAAGCAAAAGAGGUUUGAUUGGCUCCCAGUUCUGUGGGCUUUACAGGAAGCCUGGUGCCGGCAUCUGCUUGGCUCUUGGGGAGGCCUCGAGAAGCCUCCAAUCAUGGUGGAAGGCAACGGAGAAGCAGGAGGGUAGAGAGAUGCCACGUGCUUUUAAACAACCAGAUCUUGCGAGAACUCACUAUCUCAAGGAGAGCACCAAGCCAUUUAGGAGGCAUCUGCCUGGUGACCCAAACACCUCCCACCAGCCCCACCUCCAACAUUGCGAAUGACAUUUCAACGUGAGAUGUGGAGGGGACAUCCAGACUGUAUCAGAAACCAAGAGAUAACAACUUAGUAGACAUAUUCCAAAAAAUUAUGACCCACAGGGUGCCGAUCAGUGUGCAGAGAAUGUCUUCAUUUACACACAAAAAGACACAGACAAGACACUCAGCAGAGGUUCUCAGAGGGGCUAAGUGCGGAAGGCUUCGUGUGUUCAUUUUUAUUCUUUGGGGCUGAAAGAAUGCUUUAUACCAUGAGCUGUGCUUCUUUUAAAAUAGAAAUAAAAUGCUUAGUUAGUCA